CCAGCCCCUACGCGCGUGCGCUCGGUAGGGCACGCACCACAACCUCUCCUCACCUCCUCUCUCAACGCUCCCCUCCUCUCUCGAGCAUGACUUCUCCGGCGCUAGACUCCCUCGCGCGGCCAUGCGCCGGCAGAGGGCAAGACGACCGUCCCCAGCCAUCGACGUCUGGUCUAAAGCGGAAGCCUGAGUUGCCAUCGUCUCUAUGCUGCUUCCGGGGGCCGGAUCUAGGAGCGUCGCACUGAUAAGUGACCGGAUCUGGACAUCUCCAUCUUCCCUUUCUUUAUUUCCCUUUCAGUCGAUCUAGCGCCCUGCGCCGCCUUGCUAUCGUCACCUGAUGUGUUCGCCGACGUGCCAGUGCGCCUUCUCACCAGCCGUUGGGAUUUCGACGGUCUGGGCCUUGAUGCCAACGCGCUCUGUCUGCCUGCCACCUGUUUGGCGUCUUCUAUGGACACACCGUCGCCGCCUGAUGUGUUCACCGACGUGCCAGUGUGCCUACUCGCCAGUCGUUGGGACCUUGACGGCCUAGGCCUCGAUGCCGAUGUUAUCCUCCUAUCAGCGCACCUAUUUGGCGUAUUCUACAACUACGGUGGUGCCGAAGGACGCCCAUCGACAUGGGGAACCCUUAGAAAGCCACCACUGCCUCUUUACAGGAUCAUGCGUCGGCCAUUCCGUGACCCCGCUGUCUCCUUAACUACUCCUCCACCAUCUUAGUCACGCCUGUGUCGGCCAAGCCUUCCUCCAGCCCUCAAGGGGAACGAGCUGCGCGUUCAAGUGGUCGACCAUCUCCAAGUCUACGUGAGGUGCCUGCAGAGGUUCAAUCAGGGAGGAAUUUGAAAUGGACGUGUUGCCUUGGUCUUGUUAUAUUUAUGAGUUCUUUGUCUGGUGCCUCUUAAAUUUAUUCUCUUCAUGAUGUUAGAAACAUGUUUCCAAAGAGAAGACAAAACUGAGUGGGGUAGUAAAGCGAUUGUAGGAAUCACAUGAACCGGCUUGCACACAAGCUAUGAAGAUUAAGAAGUUGAAGGCUUCUUUAGAGACCUCCUGCUUUGUGCCAAGACAAAGGUUGCCAAAGUUUGACUUGCAUCUCUAGGUCGCAGCGACAAAAAGGUGGGCGAUGCGGCGGCGACGCGGGAGCAUAACCACCAGGUAUGUAUGGUAUUGAUUUGGGGACAAUAGUGGGACUGGAGUUUGACGUCGACACCGUGGCGGCGAACGCAACGACAAAGCAGGUGGACGCUGCAUCUAUCUCGUUUUAUAGGACUUGAGUUGUCCAAAGAAAUAAAUGAUUCAUUGAGGCAAUCAUCUCGAGCUAGGACAAGGCUUCCCUCCAGCAUUGAAAUAAGUGGCCAUGUGCUUACAAUAGGGUAAAUAUUUUUUGCCACAUUGCUUUGAUACUAGCUCUUGUUACAACAUGUUCAUAGCUUUGGAGACUUGAUC